rnacentral:rRNA from 1 species
CUACGGGGUGCACCAGUGGGGAAUAUUGGGCAAUGGGCGAAAGCCUGACCCAGCAACGCCGCGUGAAGGAAGAAGGUUUUCGGAUCGUAAACUUCUAUCCCGGGUGAAGAUAAUGACGGUAGCCCGGAAGGAAGCCCCGGCUAACUACGUGCCAGCAGCCGCGGUAAUACGUAGGGGGCAAGCGUUGUCCGGAAUGAUUGGGCGUAAAGGGCGCGUAGGCGGCCGUUUAAGUCCGAUGUGAAAGUCCUGCUUUUAAGGUGGGAAUUGCAUUGGAAACUGGAAGGCUUGAGUGCAGGAGAGGUAAGUGGAAUUCCCGGUGUAGCGGUGAAAUGCGUAGAGAUCGGGAGGAACACCAGUGGCGAAGGCGACUUACUGGACUGUAACUGACGCUGAGGCGCGAAAGUGUGGGGAGCAAACAGGAUUAGAUACCCUAGUAGUC